rnacentral:rRNA from 1 species
UACGUAGGUGGCAAGCGUUGUCCGGAUUUACUGGGCGUAAAGAGCGCGCAGGCGGUCGUCCAAGUCGCGUGUGAAAGCCCCCGGCUCAACUGGGGAGGGUCACGCGAUACUGGUCGACUCGAAGGCAGGAGAGGGUAGUGGAAUUCCCGGUGUAGUGGUGAAAUGCGUAGAUAUUGGGAGGAACACCAAUGGCGAAGGCAGCACCCUGGGCCGGUACUGACGCUGAGGAGCGAAAGCGUGGGGAGCAAACAGG